rnacentral:lncRNA from 1 species
AUGCAGAAGAAUUUGGGGAUAAGUGUCAAUGAUGGUGCUAAAUGCCUUGCAAACAAGCAGACAGACAGCCAUUUAAAAAAAUCUAGAUGUCAUUGCCAAGCAAAGACAGACAUCAGGAUGGAGUUGAGCCUCAUGAGAAAAGUGAGGUUUUGGAAGAAAGACUUUGCUUGAAAUCCAGGAGAGAGGAAGGAGAGGAUUUCAUCAGACACUGAAAUUGAGACUGAUUCGUAUCACAGGGAUCUAAGAAGUGAGAAUGGAAGGUCACACAACUGCACACAAGCAGAAUAGCUGUUGCAAAAGAGACACAAAUACAAGAAUCAUCUGCUCAGCGCGCAACAUUUUAAAUCUGAGAGUGGCUUCAAAAGUCAUCCAGUCUCCAUUCUGAUAGCUAGUUACAAAGACAGAAAUAAUAAUAACAGGUUUUGGAAGGAAGCUUUUUAAAUGGAUCUAACAUUAUAAAUAAGGACUUUAAGUAUCAUAGAAGUGGAGCAGCUUGUCUAAUGAUCCAGAAUGAAUUCAUGGUAGAAUUUGGACAAAGGACUGAAUAACAUCCAGGUAACACUUAAGAAAAUAUUUUGGCACAAGGAAAUCCUGGGCAAUCUUUAUGUCAUGGUCUUACAUGUUUCUGUAGGUUGUUUUGCCUAAUUGCAAAAUGUUUUGUUUUGUUUUAGAGAGAGGAGGGGAGGGGCUGAGGGAGAGGGAUAAAGAAUCUUAAUCAGGCUUCACACCCAGCACAGAACCCAGUACACAGGGCUUUAUCUCAGCCCUGAGAUCAUGACACGAGCUGAAAUCAGGAAGGACACUUACCCUACUCAGCCACCUAGGCGCCCUUGCAAAAUGUUUUAUACAAAGAAACAUUUAGGGCUUUCAGCCUAUUAGAAUUUUUUUACUCUGUGACCAGAUAAUAGAUAUAAAGGAACCUCUGUGCAUAUGGAAAUGAGUAAAUGGAUGUCUUUUUUAUAGUUGAUUUUAUUAAUAUGAUAUGAUAUGAUAUGUGUGUAUAUUUUGUGACAACAAAAAAAAAUCAGUUCUCUGUCUUA